GCAAGUGGUUCUCAGAGUCGGUUUAUCAGCUCAGCCAUACAUCAGAGACCCAAGUUGUUUCAGUGUUUGAAUCCACCAGGCUUAAUGUGGUAGCUUUUUGUUUCAUGCAUAUCCUGUGAUGGUUACAACACCCUGCUGCUGUGCUGGUCAUCACAUCCCCACACAGCCUUCAAAGUUUGGGUUAGCGCCAGCUGGAGAAAACGCUGCUCUGGCAGUUUGCAGCCAAACUGGAAGCACAGGAUCCGUGGAACCUCCUGGGAAAGUGUUCUCUUGAAAUUCCCAGUAGUCGCUGUGCAUGGAAGCUGAGACAUGGACAAAUGUCAUUGCUCCUGGUUCUUGGGCCUUUGGACCCAGACAAGGACUUAUACCAUCAGCCCUCCAUUCUCAGGCCUUUAGACUCUACUGAAUUACACCACCGGCUUUCCUGAUUCUCCAGUCUGAAGACGGCAGAUUGCGUGACUCCUCAGCCUCUGUAAUUGUGUGAGCUAAUCCUCAUAAUAAAUCUCCAGCAUCUGGUGGGAAGUGUGCUUUCGCUUGAUGACACUGAAAAAUCAUGCCACGAGUGUCCAGUAACAGAAAGAAAAUAGACUUGCUGCACUCUGAGGAAGGGAAGGUUCCUCUCCACGCCCCCAGCGUGUAUGGGACCUAAGCUGCCAGGUUUUAGAAUGCUGGAGAAUUUCAAAUCAGACCACCUGCUCCUUAAAUGUCAAAACCAGCAGUAGUGUUUACAAUUCUAUACAACGGAUGUUCUCUAGCAACACCAAAAGCAAAUUUCAGGUCGUUAUGUAUCCACUACCAGGUGAG
rnacentral:lncRNA from 1 species